UUGAGCCUUUUAUUUUGAAAUAAUUUUCUUUUGAAAUAAUACUGCUUAAGGAAAAAUAUCUUCUUAGAAAAGAUUUUUUGCCUACUUAUUUUCUCCAUUUGACUUUUACCAUUUGAGUAUAAUAGCAGCGGAACGCACAGUAUGUUUCCUUGAGCAGUAGUUAUGAAUUAUUUUGUGUCAUUGUCAUGCCUCCGUGUGCCUUGCUGGUGGUGCUGUGUCACGUUGAGGAGCUCUGAGAGAGGAGAUUACAGCUUCUCUGGGCAGCAGCAGUUGAGAGAUUACAUGUCUGUUUUUUUCAGCAAACUUUGUUAGAGUUUUCAUAAUUUUAGGAACAAGUUUAUGAGUGCAAAGUAGACAAUUUGCAUGUAAAAGUGUGUGUUGGCAGCAGUCAUCUGCAUGUGUUCUUGAGCUUUAUGUUCACUUCUACUCAGGAGGAAGACCUGUAUAGCAUUUUGGAGAACACACAUAUAUAUUUUCAGUGUGUGGUAUUGGUUAGCUGCUUAAGCAGAGCUUAUAGCUAAAAUGAAGAAGAAAACCAGUAAUUUUAUUAGGUACAUUGGCAGUGUAUUCUCCAUUUGGGUUAACCAGAAUUUAGGGAGGGGUAACAAAAAUAGGAAGCCUUUAUGUCAACAGGGACUUGAAUAUUAGGAGUUUAGGCAGGAGAGAGCAUGAAAAGAAGACAUGACAGCAAGAGAAGACAAUGAAUGAUAAAUUAUAAAUUAUCUGUGCUUCUUUAAUUGCCCUCAUAAGAGUUCAAGGAGCUGUCUGUGAAGUAGAUUUAGAGCUGGGGAAAAAAAAAAAAGAGUUUUUUAAACAUUUUAUAGGGUUAACCUAUGGAACUAGUUCUCAGAGCAGAGUGCUGUUGGAAGCCUUAGCAGGGCAUAAAGGAAGAAAUAGAUCUGGUGCAUUGCAAGAAAGUAGAGACAUCUCAUUUUCCCUUUUGGGGGAAGGUGAGGUGAAAUAAUUGGGCCAGUACCUCCAAAAGAGAGUUUACUGCUGUCUAACCAUGCCCUUGAGAUAGUGCAGUAGUGCCUGGUGUUAUCUUUUACUUGCAUGUGGAGGCAAGCCCAUGUUUGGUUGGGCUCCUCCCAAGCACCUCCUACCAGGCAGAACUCUGUAGUGUAUAUACUGCAUUAAAGGAUUCCUGUGCAUGUUGCCUUAUGGAGAAAAUCAAAUAGCAUCUUCUGUUUUCUGUUUCCAGCAUUCUAGGAAGUAGAUCUUCAUGAAAAGUAUUUCUUUAACUGACAAUCAAGCAAUUACAACUGGUCUCCAGAUGAGCAGCGAGAGGGUAGAUAAGAUGUCACAGUUGUCCUUCACCACUUAUGGCCAUUAGCAGGAGUUCAACCUGUUCUGUCAUUAUCCUGCUGACACUGUACAACAGGUUGUAUCGCAUUGGCACUGGCUUCCAUAUGUCAGCACAUCUGUGAGCGGUCAACUCAACCAACCAUCUCCAAGUCCCCCACUUUUGCCAAGGAUAUUGCUUGAAGCAUAUUUUCAAGGAGACGAGAGCACACAUCUUUUAGUUGUCAGAUUUCUGUGUAUCAGCAUGGAUUAAUUCCUUUUUCUUCUCUCAUACUGGUUUAUAAAUGUAGGAAGUUUCCAGUAAAUGCAUUGUAAGGUGUGAAAUUCUCUCCUUUCUUCUUAGUGUUGCUUUUUUGUUUCCUCUUGUAGUUCCCCCCAAAACAAAUGCACUAAUUUGAAAUGUUUUCCACAGAAGAUGAGAUAUUUAGAAUUAUAUGCAACAUUACAUAGCAUGCUUUGUACACGAAUGACAGAUUAAAUAUGUUUUAAGCAGUGUUAACAAUGACAUUAUUUGUCAGUCCAAGUAAAUGACUCAACCUUACAGGGACUCUUUACAAGUCACUUUCCCUGCCACUUCACUUUUAAAGUGGCAUCUGUUUCAUUCCCAUCAUCCUUGUUUCCAUUAAAAUCAGGCAUAUAGAUUUAGUACAGGCCCUGAGAAGCCUAGUUAAUCCUGUACUUGUAAAUGCACUGUGUUCUAAUAAAAUGAAGAAAACCCAAAACAAACCAAAAUGAAAAACUUCCAUGGCUGAAUUAAUUUUUUCCUCUCUAAUUUAAGCUAAAAAAGCUGUGUGGAACAUGCAGGUAAAUUAUUUUACUUUGGAAUAUAAAUUACUAAACUAAUUUUCACCUGAAAUGGUUUUUGUAUACUCAUCAAUGGUAGGUUACACUGCAGUAACAACAAGUAUGUGUGGGACUUCUCCUUAUUUGCAUUAAAGACUUAAUUUUGUGAGGUGUCUCUGCAGUGAAAAAAACCCUCCUGUAACAGUGAUGGAGUUUUUGCUUGCUCCUUUGUCAAGUAAUUAUUAAUUUUUUCUUCCCUUUUAUUUCUUCCCUUCCCCUUUCAGGGAUCCUGCUUUUGUUACCAAAAAUUAAUAAAAUCCCUAUUAGUAUCAGGA